GGCAGUACCAACCGAUCUUGGAAACACCGGUUCUCGUUUGAUCACCAAAGUUAAGCAACGUUGGGCUCGGUUAGUACUUGCAUGGGUGACCGGCUGGGAAUACCGGGUGCUGCGGCCG
rnacentral:rRNA from 1 species